UGCCCAGCAACUCCUAUCCCUACCUCUUCGUGAUACUGGCCUGGGUACGAGUAACCUUAGGAAAAAACGGGAAUCUAUCCAGUGGGAGCUUUGGUCGUAUGCUGACAAGGAAGG
rnacentral:ribozyme from 1 species